rnacentral:rRNA from 1 species
GAAUGCUGACAUGAGUAACGAUAAAGGGAGUGAAAAACUCCCUCGCCGGAAGACCAAGGGUUCCUGUCCAACGUUAAUCGGGGCAGGGUAAGUCGACUCCUAAGGCGAGGCCGAAAGGCGUAGUCGAUGGGAAACGGGUUAAUAUUCCCGUACUUCUUACAAUUGCGAUGGGGGGACGGAGAAGGCUAGGUGGGCCUGGCGACGGUUGUCCAGGUUCAAGUACGUAGGCGGAAAGUUUAGGUAAAUCCGGACUUUCAUUAACGCUGAGAUACGAUGUCGAGCUACUACGGUAGUGAAGUCAUUGAUGCCAUGCUUCCAGGAAAAGCCUCUAAGCUUCAGAUUGUAAGGAAUCGUACCCCAAACCGACACAGGUGGUCGGGUAGAGAAUACCAAGGCGCUUGAGAGAACUCGGGUGAAGGAACUAGGCAAAAUGGUACCGUAACUUCGGGAGAAGGUACGCUCUUAUCAGUGAAGUCCCUUGCGGAUGGAGCAGACGAGAGUCGCAGAUACCAGGUGGCUGCAACUGUUUAUUAAAAACACAGCACUGUGCAAAAUCGUAAGAUGACGUAUACGGUGUGACGCCUGCCCGGUGCCGGAAGGUUAAUUGAUGGGGUUAGACUUCGGUCGAAGCUCUUGAUCGAAGCCCCGGUAAACGGCGGCCGUAACUAUAACGGUCCUAAGGUAGCGAAAUUCCUUGUCGGGUAAGUUCCGACCUGCACGAAUGGCGUAAUGAUGGCCACGCUGUCUCCACCCGAGACUCAGUGAAAUUGAAAUCGCUGUGAAGAUGCAGUGUACCCGCGGCUAGACGGAAAGACCCCGUGAACCUUUACUACAGCUUGGCACUGAACAUUGAACCUACAUGUGUAGGAUAGGUGGGAGACUAUGAAAUUGCGUCGCUAGAUGUGAUGGAGUCGUCCUUGAAAUACCACCCUUGUAGUUUUGAUGUUCUAACGUUGGUCCCUGAAUCGGGAUUACGGACAGUGCCUGGUGGGUAGUUUGACUGGGGCGGUCUCCUCCCAAAGAGUAACGGAGGAGCACGAAGGUGGGCUAAACACGGUUGGACAUCGUGUGGUUAGUGCAAUGGCAUAAGCCCGCUUGACUGCGAGAAUGACAAUUCGAGCAGGUGCGAAAGCAGGUCAUAGUGAUCCGGUGGUUCUGAAUGGAAGGGCCAUCGCUCAACGGAUAAAAGGUACUCCGGGGAUAACAGGCUGAUACCGCCCAAGAGUUCAUAUCGACGGCGGUGUUUGGCACCUCGAUGUCGGCUCAUCACAUCCUGGGGCUGAAGUCGGUCCCAAGGGUAUGGCUGUUCGCCAUUUAAAGUGGUACGCGAGCUGGGUUUAGAACGUCGUGAGACAGUUCGGUCCCUAUCUGCCGUGGGCGUUGGAAAAUUGAAAGGGGCUGCUCCUAGUACGAGAGGACCGGAGUGGACGAACCUCUGGUGUUCGGGUUGUCAUGCCAAUGGCAUUGCCCGGUAGCUAAGUUCGGAAUCGAUAACCGCUGAAAGCAUCUAAGCGGGAAGCGAGCCUUGAGAUGAGUUUUCCCUGGCACUAUAAGUGUCCUAAAGGGUUGUCGUAGACUACGACGUUGAUAGGCAGGGUGUGUAAGUGCUGCGAGGCAUUGAGCUAACCUGUACUAAUUGCCCGUGAGGCUUAACCAUACAACACCCAAGGGGUUU